UUUCCGUAGGUGAACCUGCGGAAGGAUCAUUAAUAAACUUUUUUUGAAAUAAAAAAAAAUAAUAAUCAUCCUACCCUUUGUGAAUUUGUUUUGUUGAAUAAUUUUCUAAAAAUUAUUUAUUGUCUAUCCAAGUUGGAAAGUUGUAAAAGACUUGAAGACUUGGUGCGGCAUAAAUAAAUUUAAAGACUUUUUUCUAAAAUUAAACUUUUUGUAUUCAUUUGUCUAAAAUAAUUUUUAUAAUAUAUAAAAACAACUUUUGACAAUGGAUCUCUUGGUUCUCGCAACGAUGAAGAACGCAGCAAAAUGCGAUAAGUAAUGUGAAUUGCAGAAUACGUGAAUCAUCGAAUCUUCGAACGCAUAUUGCACUUUUUUAGUUUACUAAAAAAGUAUGUCUGUUUGAGUAUCAGUAAAAUAUUCUCAUAAAAUUUUUUAAUUUUAUGGUUAUGAGUGUUUUACAACGAUAAACAAGUUGUUUCACUUUAAAUUGAAUUUUUUUGAAGAAAUUCUUUAAUUCAAAUUAAAUUUGGAUAAAAUUUUCCCGUAAAAAGGAAUAACUAUACAAGUUUAAUAAGAAUUUAGUGAUUUCUUUUAUGAAAAGGAAAUUUAUUAAAUAACUUGAUCUCAAAUCAGAUAAGAGUACCCGCUGAACUUAAGCAUAUCAAUAAGCGGAGGAAAAGAAACUAACAAGGAUUCCCCUAGUAACGGCGAGUGAAGCGGGAAGAGCUCAAAUUUGAAAUCUUAAAGGGUUUCCCUUUACGAAUUGUAGUUUAAAGAAGUGUUUUCUGUUGAGGUUUUGGUAAAAGUUCUUUGGAAUAGGACAUCAUAGAGGGUGAGAAUCCCGUAUUUGACCUUUACUUUCAACUUUGUGAUACACUUUCAAAGAGUCGGAUUGUUUGGGAAUGCAGUCCAAAAUGGGUGGUAAAUUUCAUCUAAAGCUAAAUAUUGGCGAGAGACCGAUAGCGAACAAGUACCGUGAGGGAAAGAUGAAAAGAACUUUGAAAAGAGAGUUAAACAGUACGUGAAAUUGUCAAAAGGGAAGCGUUUGACACCAGUGUUGUUUUUCUGAAAAUCAAUUAAAGAACUGUUUAUGCUAAGUUGUUUAGACUUUAUCAGCUAACUGUUUAGUUUUGAGCUUUUCUUUAAUGCACUUUUCAGUUAACAAGUCAACAUCAAUUUCUUUUGCUGUAAAAAAGCUUGAGGAAGGUGGCUUGAGAUUCGUCUUAAGUGUUUAUAGCCUCUUGCCUAUGCAGUCGGAGAGAUUGAGGUCUGCAGCGUAGAUCCUUCGGGGCUAAAUGCAUUUGUGCUAAGUUAUAGCAUUUUAUAGACAACUUGUUGACUAUGAUUUGUCUUGUAGCUUACUCGCUUAUGUUAUUU
rnacentral:misc_RNA from 1 species